GCCCCUAUAGCCCAAUUGGCAGAGGCAGAGGACUUAAAAUCCUUUCAGUGUGGGUUCGAGUCCCACUGGGGGCACCA
rnacentral:tRNA from 37 species